CUGCAGUAUUUCUGAGGUAUGCCUGUAUUUCAAAUUACAGUCGGGAACUGAAAAAAAGGGACACAAGCUGACGAAGAGCCUUCUCUUAAUGAUUACAGGGUGUCUAGUGUGCCCUAGGGAGGAAGGAGAGAAGACAGGAGCUCGGAGGUUCAUCAAUUGGGAAAGUGAACUGAAUGCAGAAUUCUUCCCAUAGCAAGUCAUGUUAUCCACGCAAGCAGCCCCAUGGACAAGGGCGAGGCCCUACAGUGGUUACAACGGCGGACAGCACAGUGGGUCCAGACACACCACAGAUCAUUGCCAGCCCUGUGCGGGCAGCUACUUGGCCAUGUUCCUGGCCCUGAACCACACCGAUGAGCUGACCUUCGCAUGUUAGCUAUUGUUUUCCAGAGAAAACUGGGCCUAUGCAUGUUGUACAGACAACACGGGUUUAUGUCUGGUUUUGGAAAAAAUAAGUUCUAGCAUGCACUCUACUGAAAAUAGGCCGGUUGCCAGAGCAUCAGGUCUUUUCACUGUUGUUCUGUGAAAAACCGGAGCAAAUGAUAAGUUCUCAACUCUUUUGCUAUGGGCCAAAAAUGGAAGAUGUCUAUAAAAGCGCCUCCCGAUAUAAGGAAGUGAUGCUGGUUCUAGGAAGAAGAGAAGACGGGCUUCCUAGAGGUUUCAGAUGUGCUAACUGCCACGUGCACGCAGGAGACCUUAACCUCUGUAGUUUUCAGCCGGAGGCAGCGACUAUCCACGACACGUAGUAAUCAGAGAUCAUAGUAAGCUAGAGAGAAUCACUCCGCCUUGCAGUCUGGCCCUUUCCACAAUCUGAGCAACAGAAGAUGCCUCUUGGAUUGCUCAUUCUGGGGGAAGCCAGCUGCCAUACUAGGAGACAGCACCCAGAGAGGCUCCUAUGAGAGCAUGGGAGCAAAUCCUGGAGAUGACUGUAGCUGAGCUGACACUUUGGUUGCAGGAUUGUGACAGACCCAGCCUAGCUGCUCCCAGACU